rnacentral:rRNA from 1 species
CGAAUGCUGACAUAAGUAACGAUAAAGCGGGUGAAAAGCCCGCUCGCCGGAAGACCAAGGGUUCCUGUCCAACGUUAAUCGGGGCAGGGUGAGUCGACCCCUAAGGCGAGGCCGAAAGGCGUAGUCGAUGGGAAACAGGUUAAUAUUCCUGUACUUGGUGUUACUGCGAAGGGGGGACGGAGAAGGCUAUGUUGGCCGGGCGACGGUUGUCCCGGUUUAAGCGUGUAGGCUGGUUUUCCAGGCAAAUCCGGAAAAUCAAGGCUGAGGCGUGAUGACGAGGCACUACGGUGCUGAAGCAACAAAUGCCCUGCUUCCAGGAAAAGCCUCUAAGCAUCAGGUAACAUCAAAUCGUACCCCAAACCGACACAGGUGGUCAGGUAGAGAAUACCAAGGCGCUUGAGAGAACUCGGGUGAAGGAACUAGGCAAAAUGGUGCCGUAACUUCGGGAGAAGGCACGCUGAUAUGUAGGUGAAGUCCCUCGCGGAUGGAGCUGAAAUCAGUCGAAGAUACCAGCUGGCUGCAACUGUUUAUUAAAAACACAGCACUGUGCAAACACGAAAGUGGACGUAUACGGUGUGACGCCUGCCCGGUGCCGGAAGGUUAAUUGAUGGGGUUAGCGCAAGCGAAGCUCUUGAUCGAAGCCCCGGUAAACGGCGGCCGUAACUAUAACGGUCCUAAGGUAGCGAAAUUCCUUGUCGGGUAAGUUCCGACCUGCACGAAUGGCGUAAUGAUGGCCAGGCUGUCUCCACCCGAGACUCAGUGAAAUUGAACUCGCUGUGAAGAUGCAGUGUACCCGCGGCAAGACGGAAAGACCCCGUGAACCUUUACUAUAGCUUGACACUGAACAUUGAGCCUUGAUGUGUAGGAUAGGUGGGAGGCUUAGAAGUGUGGACGCCAGUCUGCAUGGAGCCGACCUUGAAAUACCACCCUUUAAUGUUUGAUGUUCUAACGUGGACCCGUGAUCCGGGUUGCGGACAGUGUCUGGUGGGUAGUUUGACUGGGGCGGUCUCCUCCUAAAGAGUAACGGAGGAGCACGAAGGUUGGCUAAUCCUGGUCGGACAUCAGGAGGUUAGUGCAAUGGCAUAAGCCAGCUUGACUGCGAGCGUGACGGCGCGAGCAGGUGCGAAAGCAGGUCAUAGUGAUCCGGUGGUUCUGAAUGGAAGGGCCAUCGCUCAACGGAUAAAAGGUACUCCGGGGAUAACAGGCUGAUACCGCCCAAGAGUUCAUAUCGACGGCGGUGUUUGGCACCUCGAUGUCGGCUCAUCACAUCCUGGGGCUGAAGUAGGUCCCAAGGGUAUGGCUGUUCGCCAUUUAAAGUGGUACGCGAGCUGGGUUUAGAACGUCGUGAGACAGUUCGGUCCCUA